rnacentral:rRNA from 1 species
CCUACGGGAGGCAGCAGUGAGGAAUAUUUGUCAAUGGACGAGAGUCUGAACCAGCCAAGUAGCGUGAAGGAUGACUGCCCUAUGGGUUGUAAACUUCUUUUAUAUGGGAAUAAAAUGUUCCAAGUGUGGGAUUUUGUAUGUACCAUAUGAAUAAGGAUCGGCUAACUCCGUGCCAGCAGCCGCGGUAAUACGGAGGAUCCGAGCGUUAUCCGGAUUUAUUGGGUUUAAAGGGAGCGUAGGUGGAUUGUUAAGUCAGUUGUGAAAGGUUGCGGCUCAACCGUAAGAUUGCAGUUGAAACUGGCAGUCGUGAGUACAGGAGAGGUGGGCGGAAUUCGUGGUGUAGCGGUGAAAUGCUUAGAUAUCACGAAGAACUCCGAUUGCGAAGGCAGUUCACUGGACUGCAACUGACACUGAGGCUCGAAAGUGUGGGUAUCAAACGGGAUUAGAUACCCUUGUAGUC